rnacentral:rRNA from 1 species
GAUGAACGCUGGCGGCGUGCUUAACACAUGCAAGUCGAACGAAGCACUUUAUUCGAUUUUCUUCGGAGAUGAAGAUUUAGUGACUGAGUGGCGGACGGGUGAGUAACGCGUGGAUAACCUGCCUCACACUGGGGGAUAACAGUUAGAAAUGACUGCUAAUACCGCAUAAGCGCACAGUACCGCAUGGUAUGGUGUGAAAAACUCCGGUGGUGUGAGAUGGAUCCGCGUUUGAUUAGCCAGUUGGCGGGGUAACGGCCAAACAAAGCGACGAUCAAUAGCCGACCUGAGAGGGUGACCGGCCACAUUGGGACUGAGACACGGCCCAAACUCCUACGGGAGGCAGCAGUGGGGAAUAUUGCGCAAUGGGGGAAACCCUGACGCAGCGACGCCGCGUGAGCGAUGAAGUAUUUCGGUAUGUAAAGCUCUAUCAGCAGGGAAGAAUAAAUGACGGUACCUGACUAAGAAGCCCCGGCUAACUACGUGCCAGCCGCCGCGGUAA